UACGUAGGUGGCAAGCGUUGUCCGGAUUUAUUGGGUUUAAAGGGUGCGUAGGCGGCUUUGUAAGUCAGUGGUGAAAUAUGUCAGCUUAACUGAGAGGGUGCCAUUGAUACUGCAGAGCUUGAGUACAGAUGAGGUAGGCGGAAUUGACGGUGUAGCGGUGAAAUGCAUAGAUAUCGUCAAGAACACCUAUAGCGAAGGCAGCUUACUAAGCUGUAACUGACGCUGAGGCACGAAAGCAUGGGGAGCAAAAGGG
rnacentral:rRNA from 1 species